rnacentral:rRNA from 1 species
UACAGAGGGUGCGAGCGUUGUCCGGAAUCACUGGGCGUAAAGGGCGCGUAGGCGGCUCGGUCAGCGUGCGGUGAAAGCCCGGGGCUCAACCCUGGAAUGCCGGUGGAAACUGUCGAGCUAGAGUCCGGAAGAGGCGAGUGGAAUUCCUGGUGUAGCGGUGAAAUGCGCAGAUAUCAGGAGGAACACCAAUGGCGAAGGCAGCUCGCUGGGACGGUACUGACGCUGAGACGCGAAAGCGUGGGGAGCAAACAGG